ensembl:lncRNA
AUUUUCUCUGCCCCCCCACUUCUCUUUCUUAGAUAUGUUCUAUCAGAGCUGGUAGAGACAGAAAGGCUAUAUGUGGAAGAUCUAGGCCUCAUAGUUGAGGGCUACAUGGCCACUAUGAGUAACAGUGGAGUUCCAGAGUAUAUGAAAGGCAAAGAUAAAAUAGUAUUUGGAAAUGUUCACCAAAUCUAUGACUGGCAUAAGGACUACUUCCUUGGUGAACUGAAGAAGUGUGUGUCUAAUCCAGAGCAGCUGGGGCAGCUCUUCAUCAAACAUGAGCGGCGUCUUCACAUGUACGUGGUGUACUGCCAAAACAAGCCCAAGUCUGAGUGCAUUGUCUCAGAGUACAUAGACACCUAUUUUGAGGAUUUAAGACAGCAGUUGGGCCACAGGCUGCAGCUGAAUGACCUGCUGAUUAAACCUGUUCAGAGGAUCAUGAAGUAUCAGCUUCUACUCAAGGACUUCUUGAAGUAUUAUGUUAAAACAGGGAAACACACAGAAGAACUUGAGAGCGCGGUUGAGGUGAUGUGUUUUGUUCCUAAGCGAUGUAAUGAUAUGAUGAAUGUUGGGAGACUGCAAGGUUUUGAGGGGAAGAUAACAGCUCAGGGAAAACUGCUUCAGCAAGACACUUUCGCACUCAUCGAACAGGAAACUGGCGUCCUGCCCCGCCCCAAACAGAGGCAGGUAUUCCUUUUUGAGCAGCUCGUCAUCCUCAGCGAGCCAAUCGACCGCAAGAAAGAAUUCUCUCUGCCAGGAUACAUCUACAAGAACAGCAUCAAGGUGAGCUGCUUGGGAAUAGAGCACCGUUGCCCUGAUGACCUGUGUCGGUUGGUUCUGACAUCUCGUGCUGCCAGUGGAGAUGUGCAGCGGUUUGUCCUUCAGGCUCCGUCUCCAGAAGUCAGACUGUCUUGGGCCAAUGACAUUAUUCAGAUUCUGGAAACGCAGCACAACUUCCUCAAUGCCCUGCAGUCUCCUAUCGAGUAUCAGAAGCGUGAGAGUAAGUCGCUCAGUCUGGGCAGAGGCAUUAGGACAUCAACUUCUGUGAACUCCGGCUGCAACGGUUACUCGACAAAUGUAACAUGUAAUUAUCAUAGAAAAAUCAUUGUUGCAGCCCUACAACACUUUAAUUUCUCUCCUGAUUUCUGGCCCUCUUAUUGUCCAGGAUGUCCUCUGAUGACUGCGUAG